ensembl:lncRNA
UCCAAUACAGUUUGAUUUGUCAAAAGUUGAAAUGACAACAAAUUUAGUUUAACAAUCUUAAUUGUCUUUUUUUCCCCAUGAUUAUAGAAUUGAGCAGCCCUCAAAUCAGAGAUAGUUCAAAGAACUGCAAGGCUGCACCAAUCAGGCAGUAUCUACAGAUAGAAAACAGAAGUGACAGUGGAGACAUGAUGAGGCUCUUAUGCUCAGGGAGAAGAUCGGCCACUGGCCUCUCUCUCUUCCCCUGGGCUAUGAGAUACUUGAGGAAACUUCUGUAGCCCAGCAUACAGCGUGUGCCAAAGAAAGCUGUUUGCAAGUAAGAACUGUGGCUCAAGCACAAAGGGGCUGACCAAGAGAGACACAUUUAGAGGAAGAGAGAGAUGCAAAAACAAACAAAAUCCUACCCUGACCAUUGCCACUGGAGCACGAGCAUCCCUACCCCAACACUAUGCCUCUUGCCCCACCGCCCCAUCUUGGCCACAUCAUCUGAGCUGAUCAGCCUCCCCAUGGUUCACAAGGGUCCCAGCUCUUCUAGAUCCUUGGCCAUGACAAUACUGUUCGGGACAAUAGGGCCAGAAGAGAGAGCUCAGUGCUAACUCCAUUUCCUGAGAGGAGAGUGGAGGACCGCUGGAAAUUCCCUCCUAACUGUUCUUGUGAGGAAGGGGAGGUGCUGGCAAAAAGGAAGAAGUGAAAAGAACCAUUCUCUUGGUCUAUCCUGAUCACUUGCUCACUUUGGACUCAUUGGUGAGACAGUAUUGGCCCAAAUGCCAUGGGGACACCAAACACAUUACAGAGAGCAACUGAAGUCCUCAGAACUGAAUUUGGAGGACCAGCUUCAGGACAGCUUCCCAGAACCCUUCCCAGACCUUUCCAAUGAUCUUAGCAGAAGCUGCACUGAGUCUUCACUGCAUAUGAGGUCUCGGCUCAAGGAACCCCAAGGUGGAGAACCACCCAGAGCCAGGGAAAAGACCCCAGGUCAGAGUUGCUAAAUUUUCAAGGACGAGCUGACAAUCAUGCCAGGCUCAUGGGACACACAGUCUCUGUUCAAACAACUCUGUCCAUGCAGCUCCAAAGCACCCACAGACACUAUCUGAACAAGCAGGCAUGGCUGUGCUCCAACACAGCUUCAUUAUAAACACAAGCAGCCAUCUGAUGGAACCCACACACACCUCUGAAGACAUGGGCCUCUUGUUACUCAAGAUUAUUAGGUUUAGCAUUGUCACGGCCCAGAAUCCUGUCUGCUCUUGUGAUUAGCACUGUUCAGUCCCAGGGAAAGGCUUCUCCACAUCAUGUACUCUAGGUUCUCCAAAUGAAAGACAGCAGAGCCUGAAUGCCUUGAAGCUUGCUGAGAUGCGCUGCUGACGACAUCGGCUCUGCUUGAGGAUAUGGGGAGGGUCUGAGCAGAAGAAGCCUUUAGGUAAGAAAGAAGAUGAAUUAAUUAACUUUUCAAAUUCUUGCUUACUAAUAACAUGAAUUUGAUAGAUUACUGAAAAACAAAGUAUGGUUAUCAAGUCACUCCAAGUGUUCGUUUUCUAGCUGUCUUCCUAUUCCAAUUAAUGGUUCUGGAAGUACCCACGAGUUAUCAAAUGAAUUAUUUGUAGUAUUUGCUACUGUCGGCAUGGCAGCUAAGGAACACUUUGUAGGCAUUAGCAUCUCAUAUAAUCAUAUGGGAUAUAGAGGUCUAGAUGUAAAGAGUAUGACACAUUGGGCUGCAGAUGUAGCUCACUGGCUCUGGGUUUAAUCCCAGCACUGGACAAAAUAAGCAAUAUACACAUUCAUUAUAUUUCACAAAAAUUAGAAGUUUAAUGAUAGAGUUGUGAACAGUUUUAUCUUUAUAAAAAGUUUAAAAAUACUUAAAUAUCUUUCAAAAGUUUUAAAUAAAAGAUCAGC